rnacentral:ncRNA from 1 species
AUAACAAUUGUUUUUGUAGCUCAUAUAAAUCCGGUAAUAAGGACCAGAUGUUUCUACCAGACGACCGUAAAUUGUCUGACUAUGAGCGGAUUUAUCCAUAAG